rnacentral:rRNA from 1 species
UACGGGGGGGGGCAAGCGUUGUUCGGAAUUACUGGGCGUAAAGGGUGCGUAGGCGGCUUUCUAAGUCGGAUGUGAAAACUCUGGGCUCAACCCAGAGCCUGCAUCUGAAACUGGAAAGCUAGGGUUCUGGAGGGGAAAGCGGAAUUCCUGGUGUAGCGGUGAAAUGCGUAGAUAUCAGGAGGAACACCGGUGGCGAAGGCGGCUUUCUGGACAGAUACCGACGCUGAGGCACGAAAGCUAGGGGAGCAAACAGG